CUCGGGGUGGGGGGGUUCCCCUUGGUCCAGAUUGCAAGAAGGUGCAGACCAGGCCAAGGAACCCCACCGGUGCAUG
rfam:Myotis lucifugus cont2.27592, whole genome shotgun sequence.